GGUGAUAAGCUUCCCUUUGUACCCCUUUUGCUUGUUUCAUUAUAUUGCGCGUUGGGAAUGAUUUACUCAUGGGUAUGGCAGUUGAGGUGUCUGAUGAAAUCCACCUGAUUUUUAAUACUAAGAGUGAUGUUUGUAUCUAAUAAUGCAUCUCCAGCACUCCUUUAUGAUUCAGGUUGGCUUUCAGAAUGUGUUCUAAAAUGUGGUUGAUAUGGCCACAUUCUCCCUUUGUUUAAGAGGGAAGAAAACUAGAAACUUAUGCCGGAAUUUCUUACGCUAAAAAUCAUCGACCAGUGGCUCUUGACUUGCUACUUUAGUGAUAAACUCAACUCAACUAAGCCUUU
rnacentral:misc_RNA from 1 species